GAUGAACGCUGACAGCAUGCUUAACACAUGCAAGUCUUUGGCGAAGCUGUGCUUGCACAGCCUAGCCAAGGCGGACGGGUGAGUAACGCGUAAGGAACUUGCCCUGCAGUCAGGGAUAACAGACGGAAACGACUGAUAAGACCUGGUAAAGUCAGGCGGACUCAUGUCCAGCCUGAUGAAAAGAGAUGCUGCAGGAGAGCCUUGCGUCCUAUUAGCUUGUUGGUGGGGUAACGGCCCACCAAGGCGAUGAUAGGUAGCCGGCCUGAGAGGGUGGACGGCCACAAGGGGACUGAGAGACGGCCGUUACUCCUACGGGAGGCAGCAGUGGGGAAUAUUGGACAAGGGAGGCAACGCUGAUCCAGCAAUUCUGUGUGCACGAUGAAGGUUUUCGGAUUGUAAAGUGCUUUCAGCAGGGAAGAAAAAAAUGACGGUACCUGCAGAAGAAGCGACGGCUAAAUACGUG
rnacentral:rRNA from 1 species